CCUACGGGAGGCAGCAGUGGGGAAUUUUGGACAAUGGGCGCAAGCCUGAUCCAGCCAUGCCGCGUGAGUGAAGAAGGCCUUCGGGUUGUAAAGCUCUUUCGGCAGGAACGAAAUGGUUCGUGCUAAUACCACGGACUGAUGACGGUACCUGAAGAAGAAGCACCGGCUAACUACGUGCCAGCAGCCGCGGUAAUACGUAGGGUGCAGGCGUUAAUCGGAAUUACUGGGCGUAAAGCGUGCGCAGGCGGUUUCUUAAGUCAGAUGUGAAAGCCCCGGGCUUAACCUGGGAACUGCGUUUGAAACUGGGAGACUUGAGUGUGGCAGAGGGGGGUGGAAUUCCACGUGUAGCAGUGAAAUGCGUAGAUAUGUGGAGGAACACCGAUGGCGAAGGCAGCCCCCUGGGUUAACACUGACGCUCAUGCACGAAAGCGUGGGGAGCAAACAGGAUUAGAUACCCUGGUAGUCCACGCCCUAAACUAUGUCAACUGGUUGUCGGGGGAUUAACUCCCUUGGUAACGAAGCUAACGCGUGAAGUUGACCGCCUGGGGAGUACGGCGCAAGGUUAAACUUAAUGAAUUGACGGCUGAGAGNGCGAGCGACGACGAGGGAGAG
rnacentral:rRNA from 1 species